AGUAUUAACUUGAUUUAACUAAGUAAUUGUUCAUAACACAAUAUAAGUUUCAAUUGGCAGGAACUAUGUUACAUGGAAUGGUGAGAAUGGAAGGGUGAGAACCCCCGUUUUGUGCACUCACCCACCAGCCACCACCUGACUGUACACACCAGCAUCGAGUGUUACAUCUUAGCAAACAAGUCACCAUACAAUAUAUCUUGCUGGGGAAAGAGUAGACACGGACUGCUGCAAGAGGUGACUGCAGCAUAACAGAUACUGGACCAUCAAAUAUGCUAGUUUCCACAUUUCUUCUGUGAGCUCGAAUACGGCUUUUUCCAAAAGCGACCUUUCACUGAGUGCUCACCAGAGGCGCUGAAAUCGCAAGGUGUAUGGCGCUGAUCACUCCAACUACUCCGGCAAAAUUUCAUUUCUGAGGAGAAAAAUAAAAG
rnacentral:lncRNA from 1 species